GGAGAGGUGUCCGAGUGGUUUAAGGAGCCGGUCUUGAAAACCGGUGUCUCCGCAAGGGGCCGUGGGUUCGAAUCCCACCCUCUCCGCCA
rnacentral:tRNA from 1 species